GAAAAAAACGGAUCUACUACCAUCAAUCAGGGUAACGAUUUCCGUUUAACAUUUGCCCAUUUACUCACUUUUUACCAUAGAGUUACUAUUUUAGAUACUUAUUAACUCCAUGCUUUUUACUUAGCAAUUUUUUUAUUUCCAAACGAGAUACAUUUUACUAUAGACUUUGAAAUGUUUAUUUAAGAGGUUUAUUAUUGAACGAAGAAAGCGCGCCAAAAUUUGAUAUUUGUCAGCAAAACUUUUUCUUGAGGUUGAUUGUGAAGUGGUAGGAUGGUGACAAAUGAAACAUCGCUGCAAAGUUUUAUAAAUUCAUACUCAAAAGUUUCAUAGAAAGUUGGUGAAUAUUUGUGCUAAUAUGGGUGACUUUAACCCGGGUGACUGUUAAAAAUAAGCCGAAGAAUGUGUCAAGAACAUGCACAAAUAGCCCUUCGAGAACUGCUAGAAGCUUCCACGGUGAUUAACCUUCCUAUUACUCGUUCUUUAUCACCUAUUCCUGGUCCUUCAAACAUAAAAUCAACCUACCAAUCAUCUUCCAUCACCCACAGCUGAAACCUCAUUUAAUAUUGAAGCUACCGUCUUUCGUACUCCACCACCUACUAUCUCAUCUCCAUCUCAUCCCAUUACUAUAUAUCAUCACUCAUGGAUCGUGUUGCAUCAUUAUCUGAGCAAUUAAAUUUGGCUACUGGAUCAUAGAAUGGUGUGAUUAACAACUGUAAUUAUUUAAUUUCUACCGAAGCAUUAUAGCGUUGUUGCUUUUUUUAUAAUUUUAACAUGCCACUUUUUGUUAAAUAGAAUGAAUAAAGACUGAUUUGUAAUAAUAAUUAGAAGAUAAAUAAGUUCUUAUAAAUAAAGGUCCUUUUCAAACACA